UGUAUUACAUAGACCCUGGACACAUAGCAGCUCUUUUCAUAUUGAGCUCUGUCUGAGCUUAUUUUAUUCAACUUCUAUUGCAUUAUCUAUUAUGAUGUAACCUUAUUUGGUGAUUUUAUCCCCCCCACCCAGUGAGCUUGCAGAAAAGACAUUUCAUUGCCAGCAACUACUGCUGCACGCCGUAUUGUUGUGCAUUUGAUCAAUAAAUUGAUUAUGAUUUGAACAGAAUUGAAGCCAGAUGUUUCGGCACUGUUAGAGAGCAUCGAGUACUCCUGCCCUGGUCGAUUUGCCGGAGUGACACUGAGGGGAAUUCUUUCAUGGUCAGAUUGGCAGGGGAUACCGAGAGACAGAGAUAUUCAACCGGCUUUUCCUGUUAAAAACACAAUCCAGGUAGAUGCCCUUACAGAAAGUGCAGUAAGGAGGCGAGAAAGUUAACGAGCCCUGGCUCAGGCGCCAGUCUGGGGCAUCGUGCUAGGCGGCGGGGGGCGGGACUGUGAUGCUCGCAGCCGGCCCACCAAAAGCACUUCGGGCUGGUUUGAAAGCGGAAUGGGAGAGGGCUGAGCGCGUGUGAUGAGAGAGGGGGAUACUCUGCUCUUCCGUCGUGCUGCGCUUUCCAAACAAACAGGCAUGAGGGAAGGUUUCGGCGGAGCGUAGAGUUUGCAUGUCGCAGGAGGCGUGACGCCAAGGGGCAGAUCAAGCGCGAGCCGUCGCUGGGCAGCUCCUCUCCGGUCUCGGGCAGCAGCGGACGAUGCAGGCCUCCGACGUGUGGGUCCCACAGAGGCCACAGCCCGCGCUCUUCCAGGCGCCCCGCGGCUCCCCCUCCGCCUCGGCGUUGAGCCACCAUGCCCUUGCUGCCCCUGCGGGCGCUGGGUCCGCCGGACCCGCCAGCGCCCCCGGCUCUCCGCAGGACGCUGCCUUGGCGGUCCUGCAGCAGUUUGUGACGGAGAGGAUGUACGCCGAGGGCUCUGCUCCAGGGGCACACGGGCCACAGGCGCCCUACAAAAUAGUGCACCAAAACCCCGCGGCCCCCUCCAGAAGACAGCCUGACCAGUUCGGUGCUCCCGCCCAGUCCGCAAGACCCCAUCGCGCUGUCCACUUUGCCAACGGGCAGUUUCACAACACGGCAUUUGCGCCCAACAGGGUGGUGUUCAGUAGGAAUCCGGUUGCGCCUGGAGGAAACCACGAACCGUCCAAGAGCAGCGGCCUUGUGGCGCAACAGGAACACGGCUGGAACCGUGUCUCCUCCUCCACCGGCCGGCCGAACUACGGCAGACACCCCUCGCUUGCUCUUCCAUUCCAGUUGCACAAUCAGGGUGCUCCCGGUGGGCACGGCAGGUCGGGAUGGAGUGGGCAGCAGCAGUACCACGUGCUUCAGCAGCCUGGACCCCGCACAGAAGCCUUCAGCAGGGCUGGUGCUCAGGGUUUAGCAGGGGCCUCCAGCAGUGAUGCUCAAGCAUGGAGCCCUUCUCCGUCCGCGCCACAGGGCCAGCCGAGGCAGUGGAGUUACUAUUCAUACCCCUUUUCCUCUCUGGGGGACGGCAGCGCAGCUGGUAUCGCUCUUCAGGCAGGGCAGCAGAGGUACCCCGCCAGCCAGGCCUGUUUGCAAGGCAAAGCGAGUGACCGUCCCCAGAAUAUUCCAAACCGACCAGCGGAAAACUCCGAUACAGUUUCUCCUCUUGGGGACGUGCGGAACAGUGGUUUUCCAAGCAAUCAGCCCUUUGGGGCUGUAAAUCCCACUGUAAAUGUUUCCCAGAAUGCCCGUGAAGCUGCAGAAAGCAUCACUGUAAAUGGACGUUUUCUCCCGGCUUUGACGUCCAGCCAGUUCGGGCGCGCUCCUUGCCAUGCUGGCCAGCAGACCCCCACCAGACCGGGCUUCUUGGGUGGAGAUGGGGGCAUGGGCGCUCUAGAGGCAGCGGCCUCCCGAGGUGAUAGCACGGUCUCGGGGGCCUCCGGAAGCCUGGACAGCGGCCGGGGCCACGGUGCUUUGUCCGAGAACAUCCGCCACGACGCCGGGAAACCCCCUGAAACAAACUCCAAUUCCACAUGGCCGUCGUCUGGAUUAAACAGGGAGGCACAGCCACAGCUCCCCCACUUCCCUCAGGUCAAAACCGGCACUAACACACCAACCUUCACGCCCUCCGCCUCCGUGUCCAACACCCCGACAUGCAACUCGCUCCCCCCGGCAGGGCUGCCGCCCCCUCCUUACCCGAGAGGGCUGGAGCAGUCCUAUUUAGUGACCGUGAAGAAGGAUACCCGAGGCGAGGGGUUUACGGCUCACAAUGUGAUUUUGAUUGACAAGCCGUCUUCCGCCGGCGGCACUCGGCAGCUGCCCGGGCGGAGACGAGGCUCGUCCGGUCGGGGCUCCUCGUCGGACUCGCUCCUACGAGGGAGAGGCCCCGAAGCUCCGGGACCGAUGUCCGCCGCACACGUUUCAGACCAGCCCGCCGCUCUGCCGUUGCCCCCUGCAGUCCAGCAGAGAGGCUUGUCUCAAGGGGCAGGAAGGAGCUCCGUUUUUCAGCAGCACAGACACACCCAGGAAAACAGCUUUCUGAGGGACCAUACAGUUAGUGGGCAGCUAGUGGGUAGUAGCAUGGCAUCCACAGCUCUGCCCACUGGUCCUGUUCCACAGAAGAUGAGAGCGUCGGAUGUUAAGUUAAGGAACGAGCUCAGAAAGGGUGUAGCAGAGGUGCUGUGCGCAUUUCUGUCAAAAUGUAAAACAAGCCAGACAGACAUGUCUCCUACCAACAUGCCAGCACAGACCCAAACUGCCAAUUUAUCCCCGAGCCAAAAUGAGUCUCCGAAGGAUGUUGGCACACCUGCCAGAGGGGAAUAUGCUACGCCUGGGAAAGAGGAGUAUAGUCAUAGCCUAAUCGGGAAAUUGCUUUGUUCUUCCUUAUCGCGGGCAAGCGAACCACAGAUUGCCAUUGUGCCUCCGAUAACGCAGAAAUAUGUGGCAUCGCCGGAAAAAUUGAGAGCCUUCCUGAACGCGGAUCACGAUCUCCCAUUUAAAAUUCUGAACGUGUGGUCCCAGCUAGAAGAUCAUGCCAGUUGUUCUGAGCUGCCCAUUAAGGAGGACUUUGUUAGUUCCCUUGCAAGUGCACAUUCUGAUGGAAAAGUUGCGCAGGAGAUCUCCUCUAAAAGUCCCCCAGCAAAAGGUGUUGAAGCUCCAGCGACGGCAGAGGUCGCGCAGACAUCUGCAGAAUCUCCCAGCCUGAGAGCUCCUCCCGGAUCAUGGAGGGAUCAGCCAUUCAAGAUCACUCCAGCACACUGCACAGAAAGUCAAGCAUCACCUGGUGGUCACUCCGUGGGAAGCCUUGUUGGGCUCAGUUCUGGUCCACAUAGCUGUGAAAAGCAGCAGAGUGGGAAGAAUGAAGACAGCCUAGGUCCAGAUUCAAAUCUGAGCACAUGCACUUUGGCCUCUGUGCCUGUGAAAGAGUGGACACUUGAGAGAAUACAACAGCUGGUGAAUUUGUUUCAUGAUUGUGUAGCUCGUGAUCCAGGGUGUUAUGGGGUGGAGGAAGUAGCAAACCAGCGCUGGGCUGUUAGAAAUGAUGAGCCUUUAGAUCCACGUGAAUCUGAUCAUGAAAUUGAGUCAAUUGUGAACUUCUGGAGCUCUGGCAUCACUCUGGACCAACAGUCUGUAAUAUUUUCUGAAGUAAAGCCUGAUUGUUUUGAAAAAAUAGCCCCACAUUGCAUAACUGUUGGACCCAGUGCUGUUCCGUGUGUUGUAGAGGAGUACAAGUCCACAUGGUUAAAUCUCAACGAGAAGCUUGAUGAUAUAGAUAAAGAGUGUGGCUUUCCUCUCUGCCUGCUGCUCAAAUACCAGAUGACUGAAACAGAAAGCAGUACAUCACACGUCCAAGAGAUGCAGAACUUGGAAGCUGCUUCACUCACUACCUGUGAACAGACAGAGGAUUUGGCGCCUCCUGCAGAAACUGAGAGUGCUAACAUUGAGGAUGCCCUGUGUAAUACCCAGGUCACAGUUGUACAACCUGGCAAUGAGAUCUUCAGUGUGAUUCUGAAUGAAUCUGGUAAAGAGGAGCUGAAAGGCAGUCCACCUGUGGAAACUCCAGUCCAGCGAGAAGUGAUCCCUGAGAACUACUGCUGUCUCCUUCGCUUGCUGGAAGAUUAUACCGGUUCUCCCCUGAGCCCGAGCUGCAACUGUCAGUUCCGCUCCAAGUCGGAGAAGGAGCAUUUAACAGGCCGGACCCCUUCCACUGGAAAUGGAGGCGGACUUGUCAAAGUGUGUGCUGAGAGCUCUCCAGAGCAGUUACCAGGGGCAGGGGACCUCCCUCGAGUAACUGAGCCACAAUUGCAAACUCCAGUGGCAAGCAGGGAUCUUGCACAAGUAACUGAAGUGCAAAAGGGAGAAAUGGAUUUAGGAGCUGAGCACACAACCAUUGCUGCUGUGAAGCACAAAGAGCUGAAUGGCAAAAUAUUAAGAUCGCGGUUCAAGUCUUCUCAAAAAGCUGCUCCUGAAAGGCAAGGUGAAUCUGAAGUUCCCCAUAAACGCCAAAGAGGGGAAGAUCUGACGUCUGGUAAAGGGCGGAGGCGGGACUGUGUGGUGAAGCUCCUCCAGCUCCCAGCCCCACUCAAGAGGAGCCAAAGUCACAAAGGGGAGAAUCUGGACAGGGUCGGCGGUGGAGAAUCUGGACAGGGUAGAAAGGGAGAGGUUGACCGCGAGAUUCUGAUUCCCUCUGUAGCCAAGAAAUCGCCUCCGAGUCGCAGAAGAACUGAAGGGCAAAACGCUCAAGUUGUCGUAAGCGUAGCAUCGGGCACCAGCUCUGCUGGAGGUCCUGGAAAUAAGCACGAUAAAGGACAUAAAUCAGAAGGCAGGAAGCGUGAGAGAGAAGAUGGCUUUGAUUGCCCACCAUCCAGAUUGGCUAAAUUGCAUCUUGCGGUCCACUCCUCAGCUGAUGCAAAACAAACACCAAAGGAAGAGAAAGAACCUUUAUCAAAGAAAAAGAGCUCGUCGGAAACGGGACCAGCCGGAUCAGAGAAGAGAGGGGAGAGGACAGUGAGCCUGGUGCUGUUUGGGUCCGGCUCUAAUUCAAGUCUAGAAGUCAGAAGUUCUGAUGGCAAUCUUGCUCUUAGACGGAAGAUAAACCCUCCUCCAGUGAUUGAAUUCACCAUUCGUAGCAAAAAGGACUGUGCAGAGAAGGCAGCACUUCCAAAGGAGCAUGUCCUGUUGAACAAGAACAGACUUUCUGAAGUAGGGCUUGAAGCGAAAGAAGAGAAGAAAAGCCAGACAAAAUGCUCAGGAAGGCCACAGCAGUCCAAAACCAAGCAAAGUCUUGGAAACAAGGGACCAGACAACCACAUGACAACAGAGCACCCAUCGGAAUACUCCCAAGGCUCAUUGCACCGGAGGGUUGUGGAUUUUAAGGGCACUGACAGAUAUUACAAACCGAUGGACCAACACAGACGAAAGAAGGGCUCACAGUUAAAAACAGAGAAUCCUAAGUCCUGUUCAAAGAGUGUUCUUAGCCUGAACGAGCAAAGCGAUUCAGACAUCAAGACUUGUGGAGAUGUGAAGAAAUCGGUCUUGAGGAGAAGAGCCUCACAGCACGAGCAGAAGCAAAUUGCUUUUCGCAAACUGCAGCACAAGGAGCGCACCAAGAGUCAGGGUACAGUGGCGCCCAUCUGCUUGGUCCGGAAGAGGAAGCGUCCCUCUAUCAUGCAAGAGGCUUUCACAAAAAGGGUGUCCGCUUCUGGGAGCCCCACUACGGCGGAGAAAGACAAGCUUCUGCAGUUCAAGCUGUGGCCAGACACCGGGGAUCUGUUUGGCUUUAAAGAUGAGGGCAGCUUGAAAAAGGAAAGCAGGCAACACCCCAAUUCAGUAAAGAGAGCUGGAAGUCUGAGGGAAACAGGAAUGCAGGCUGGAUCUUCAAAGCCCAAGCAAUGGAAGAUAAAAGGUAAGACUGUGUCCCUCUGUGAUGAGAGAGGCUGAGAACAGAGAUUCAUCUGGACAGUUUUCUGGGAAAGAUUUUCUCAAAUUUAGUGCAGGGUAUCCCAGCUGUUGGUCUCCCAAGCGGUCAUCUGUGAUUUGGUGAUUAGUGAACAAUUUUGCUUUUUUGCCAAACGUGUUUUGCUUAUUCAUUGAUAGCAAUCGUUAUUUUGCAUUUUCAUUUUGUGGUCUGCUCACUUUGGCAUAGUAAGACUGUUAACUCAUGGAUAAUUUUAUAUAGUUAUAUCCCACAUAUGAUAUACCCAUUCCCCAUAUUCUGUCUUAUGGACAAGAAUUCCCCCUUUUGCAAUGUUUUCAUCUCUGACUAUGACAGAUAGCAAGGACAGUCUGCUUGUGUUUUCUGCCUUACAUUUAUUUUAAUUCAACAUGCCACCCUGUCACUGGGUCCCUGGCUGGCACAGGGGUGUGAAGAGAUGAAGCCUUCUGGCCUAUUGUGGAAAUCUCCACUCAGGACUCUGAACUGGGCAACGCUGCAGAUCCAAGAGUUCUGGAUGCAGAGAUACAGACUUCCCCUGUACGGAUUCUGACUCCGUAAUGUACAGAUCCAUUCAGGUUCUGUCAGCAUGGUCUCUGGUCCAAGUAAAAACGUCAGGAAAGCCCACAGGAGGAUAUGACAGCUCAGGUUCUCAUGACCUGGAAACCUGAUGGAAAUAGAUGAGCUAAGCGCCAGGUGCAGGGAGUUAUCAUGAGAUAAGCUGAGCGAGGCUCAGUGUGACCUCUUUGCCAAACUGCUGAACGAAAACUUUUCAGACUCAAGUGGCGCUCUGUUUUUUAGAGCUGUUUUUACUGUUCAGUAAUCUAAACAAUGCGGUCUGCUGGAGUUCAAGGUUGUGCAGCUGUUUCUUGAGCUUAAGCAGCGAAAGAAGAAGAAAAAGUAGCGUUCAGAGAUUCCACUUGUCAUCUUGUUCAUGCCUCACUUGUGUCGCGAAUGUUUGUUUGAUCCCGUAGAUGUUUACUGUCUUUACCGAUGCCUUUGAGGAUUUUCAUUCCUCCAGUUAAGACCGAUGAGGCUCUUUGCAAUUAGCCUGUAGAAUAAAUAUCUUUUAACUGCAUAUUACAUUGACUUUUUGUUGUACAUAGAGAGUUGCCACAGAGUUUCUGACUGUGUACAUGUGCGCUGCCUGUAGAAAGUCUAAACACCCUUUCCAAAGUAACACAUUUGUAAUUAUUACUCAGAAUGUCUGACCAUUUGUUUUUUCACUUGGGAAUUGUGUUACAAUAAGAAAAUAAAGGUAAAAUAAAUUGAUUUAGUGUCUUGAUUUUCAGUCUGUUAGACCACAAAUUAUGUUACUUUGGAAAGGGUGCACAGUCUUUCUGUAGGCAGUGUAUUUUGUUUUUGCUACCUACAUGCAACACCCUCCAGCUAUCAACAGCAAAUCCUACCUGCCAGCUGUUUGCUUACUCCAGAGUUUGGUCUGAAUCUCUUUUGCUCCAUCUCCUUUUAUUUUGUGAUCAGAUUGCUCAGUCUAGAUCAAUGAUAUAAAUAGGAAGGAGCAGUGGUCCUAAUCCAGGUACCUGAUGCACUAAUUACAUCACCCUCGGUCUGUACAUGGAGGGAGAACAGGCAUUGUGAACAGGGAAGAAAGUGAGAAUCACUGCUGCUCUCUGGCUAAAAUGGCACAAACAACAAGUUAAUCGACAAAAUAAUAAGGGAGGACAGGAACAUCGUUGAACAUUGUUCAGUGAUAAUAUGAAAGCAUUUCAGCUUCUGCUGUGCAGGUUUACAGUUGGAGCUUUCCACUUUUCCCACCUUCUUCCCCGGCAUGCACAGGGCUCACUGCACUCUCGGCUCUGCUGGCCGAGGGAAUUCGGACAGAAGCUCGUCGGUCUGCUCAGAGUUAACAUGACCCAGGCGUUUUGCAUGAAGUGUUUUUCCCAGGAAGACCUGGGAAAGCGAACUCGUGAGCUGUGGUUAAUCUUUCCGAAUCGUCUCUCGGCAGGUUACUGGUCCCAGAGCUCAGAAGGCAGAUCACCAGAGAAAGAGCCGACGUCUCCGGGGGCGGCCUCCCCACUUCUCACGCCCUCCUCCAAGACCACUGCUGAUGCCACCUUUCAGGAGUACAAGAAGAGAUUCCUGGAGAAGGAGCUGAAGGUCGACAAGAAGUAGCUCGGCGUGCUUGCGAAGCCUGCGUUUCGGGGGCCUGAUGUAUGCAGCUGGAACGUGUUUCCAAGGGACUCCUGCUACGCGUUUCCUGGGUGGGAUUUUCUUCAGUGGAGCGUGUUUUGUUAAGAACUGGUCACAUGCUCCCCUGCGACGCCCACACACCACAUGAUCCCGCGCGUCUGAGCUGCCGGCGAGACCCCAGAGCUCUCGCCAAAGAGUGUCUGCAGAAUUCCUGCAGGGAAAUGAGACGGCACUGACAUUCCACUCAUUGCUUUCAUCGGUAACCUCACUGCCUGCACACUGGAGUGGUGCUUGUGAGUGUCUCUCUCUGUUCCCAGGCGUUAGUAUAGCUGGAGACGCUCCUCACGGGAAUAGCUUCCUGGUAGCUGUGCUUUCCCUCUUCCUCCCACUUUUCCAACACGGCCGCUGGCCGGAACAGGAAGACUGAUAUAAACUCGUCUGGCAUUAAAUUGCUUCUGCCAAGCGCGUCGCAGCAUCCUGUGCCACAGGCCUUCACGGGCAGUUGGUCAAGCUUGUCCGUGGGCUUCCGAUGCUGGGGGAGAUGAUGGGAAAUGGGAUUCAGACACACAAGGGAUCCUGGAGGAGGAUUACUGUGAUGAGAGGCCUGCGAGGGAACAGGAUGUGCAACACGCCUUCAGAUUUUCAAACGGUUGUCUUUCAGAAUGUGAAAUACCUGCGCUGCUGUACAGAUAUAAGUACAGGAAUGCACUGAACUUGCACUUCAGCCCUUCGGAAGCCUGUGGUUUAAGAGAGCUUGUCUGAAUUUGAGGAUGGAGCUUCAUUGUCAGCAAGCACACUAAAAACUUACCAGACAUAAACCCUGUCUAACUUUUGUCCAAAUGUCAAUCCAUAUUAUUCUUAAAUCUGUUUCCUGUGUGUGUAUAAAAACACAUGGAAAAAUGCCCUUAAGCUGCUCUGUUACCAGCUCCAGAAAUGCAGGACUUGGUUUUCUUCAGCAGAGGGUCAUGCAGUCCUAUGUGACCCUGGCGACGGGAGAGGGGAACGACCUGCAGACCCACUCCUUAUCUCAGGUUAUUCUCGGACUAAGUACAUACGUUCUGAAGUUCACCAGCACAGAGGGCAACCUUCAAACAAAGCAUCUGAAAACAGUCCUUUGCUUUUUAGGAAAUGCAGAAUGUCUCUCUUUGUACUUGAAGUAUUUACAAGAGUAUUUGUUUACAAGCUUGUGUGGAAACUGGUGCCAGUGCCCAGGUCAGCACGGGCUUUGACCACUGUCAGACCUUGUGAGUCUGCUCUCAUCGUGGGAUUCUUUUUAUUUUUCACGCUAAAACUAUUCAGGAACAUGUUUGUUAAAUGCUGAUUGUAUAUACAUAUUGUGAACGGUGGUGUUCUGCAACUAUUUUUGUAUAAAACAACUUGCCAGAAAUAAAUUUUUAUAUUUCACUUCAUGAGAGCAGAUGACUUAUGUGAGAUUUAUGUGUACUUCAAAAAAAGGUCGUGCUACAAAACAGUCUGUGUCUCUGAUGUCUGACUGCAGCAAUAACGCCUUGCAGUCUGAUAAUCCAGACUGGUCCUGAUCCUGACUGGUCCUGACUGGACGAGAGACCUCUAAGGAAAAAAUCGUUGCUGAAGAAAUAGAUCCUGGUGCUGUUCUUCCCUGUGGACCUAUGGGUGAUUUUUGACGCACAUAUUAUGAAGCAUGAAAA
rnacentral:lncRNA from 1 species